GACGAACGCUGGCGGCGUGCUUAACACAUGCAAGUCGAGCGGUAAGGCCCUUUCGGGGGUACACGAGCGGCGAACGGGUGAGUAACACGUGGGUGACCUGCCCUCAGCUCUGGGAUAAGCCUGGGAAACCGGGUCUAAUACCGGAUAUGACUCCAUGACGCAUGUUGUGGGGUGGAAAGCCUUGUGCGGCUGAGGAUGGGCCCGCGGCCUAUCAGCUUGUUGGUGGGGUGAUGGCCUACCAAGGCGACGACGGGUAGCCGGCCUGAGAGGGCGACCGGCCACACUGGGACUGAGACACGGCCCAGACUCCACGGGAGGCAGCAGUGGGGAAUCUUGCGCAAUGGGCGAAAGCCUGACGCAGCGACGCCGCGUGAGGGAUGACGGCCU
rnacentral:rRNA from 1 species